rnacentral:rRNA from 1 species
CAGUAGCCGCGGGAACACGUAGGGUGCAAGCGUUAAUCGGAAUUACUGGGCGUAAAGCGUGCGCAGGCGGUUAUAUAAGACAGAUGUGAAAUCCCCGGGCUCAACCUGGGAACUGCAUUUGUGACUGUAUAGCUAGAGUACGGCAGAGGGGGAUGGAAUUCCGCGUGUAGCAGUGAAAUGCGUAGAUAUGCGGAGGAACACCGAUGGCGAAGGCAAUCCCCUGGGCCUGUACUGACGCUCAUGCACGAAAGCGUGGGGAGCAAACAGGAUUAGAUACCCCCGUAGUCCCUGUCUCUUAUAC